rnacentral:rRNA from 1 species
GGGAAUAUUGGACAAUGGGGGAAACCCUGAUCCAGCAAUGCCGCGUGAGUGAUGAAGGCCUUAGUGUUGUAAAGCUCUUUCGGCGGGGAAGAUGAUGACGGUACCCGCAGAAGAAGCCUCGGCUAACUUCGUGCCAGCAGCCGCGGUAAUACGAAGGGGGCUAGCGUUGUUCGGAAUUACUGGGCGUAAAGGGCGCGUAGGCGGCGCAUUAAGUCAGGUGUGAAAGCCCUGGGCUCAACCCAGGAAUAGCACUUGAUACUGAUGCGCUUGAAUUCGGGAGAGGAUGACGGAAUUUCCAGUGUAGAGGUGAAAUUCAUUGAUAUUGGGAAGAACACCAGUGGCGAAGGUGGUCAUCUGGCCCGUAAUUGACGCUGAGGCGCGAAAGCGUGGGGAGCAAAC